GUGGGGAAUCUUAGACAAUGGGGGAAACCCUGAUCUAGCCAUGCCGCGUGAGCGAUGAAGGCCUUAGGGUUGUAAAGCUCUUUCAGCUGGGAAGAUAAUGACGGUACCAGCAGAAGAAGCCCCGGCUAACUCCGUGCCAGCAGCCGCGGUAAUACGGAGGGGGCUAGCGUUGUUCGGAAUUACUGGGCGUAAAGCGCGCGUAGGCGGACCAGAAAGUUGGAGGUGAAAUCCCAGGGCUCAACCUUGGAACUGCCUUCAAAACUCCUAGUCUGGAGUGCGGGAGAGGUGAGUGUAAUGCCGAGUGUAGAGGUGAAAUUCGUAGAUAUUCGGAGGAACACCAGUGGCGAAGGCGGCUUCCUGGCUCGAUACUGACGCUGAGGUGCGAAAGCGUGGGGAGCAAACAGGAUUAGAAACCCUAGUAGUCC
rnacentral:rRNA from 1 species